rnacentral:rRNA from 1 species
CGGUAAUACGGAGGAUGCAAGCGUUAUCCGGAUUCAUUGGGUUUAAAGGGUGCGCAGGCGGAAUAAUAAGUCAGCGGUGAAAGCCUACAGCUUAACUGUAGAACUGCCAUUGAUACUGUUAUUCUUGAGUGUUGUUGAGGUAGGCGGAAUGUGUCAUGUAGCGGUGAAAUGCUUAGAUAUGACACAGAACACCGAUUGCGAAGGCAGCUCUCAAAACUGUAACUGACGCUGAGGCACGAAAGCGUGGGGAUCAAACAGGAUUAGAUACCCUGGUAGUCCACGCCGUAAACGAUGAUCACUCGAUGUUGGCGAUACACAGUCAGCGUCUUAGCGAAAGUAUUAAGUGAUCCACCUGGGGAGUACGGUCGCAAGAUUGAAACUCAAAGGAAUUGACGGGGGCCCGCACAAGCGGAGGAGCAUGUGGUUUAAUUCGAUGAUACGCGAGGAACCUUACCUGGGCUCGAACGUGGAAUGACAGUCGCGGAAACGUGAUCUUCUUCGGACAUUCUACGAGGUGCUGCAUGGUUGUCGUCAGCUCGUGCCGUGAGGUGUCGGGUUAAGUCCCAUAACGAGCGCAACCCCUAUCUUUAGUUGCCAUCAGGUAAUGCUGGGGACUCUAAAGAAACUGCCUACGCAAGUAGUGAGGAAGGCGGGGAUGACGUCAAAUCAGCACGGCCCUUACGUCCAGGGCUACACACGUGCUACAAUGGCCGGUACAGAGGGCAGCUACCUGGUGACAGGAUGCAAAUCUCCAAAGCCGGUCUCAGUUCGGAUCGAAGUCUGCAACUCGACUUCGUGAAGCUGGAUUCGCUAGUA